ensembl:lncRNA
GUUCAUUAAGGCUUUCUGCAGUGAUUUUUCCCGUUGGAGUUGAAGACUUCUACGUGAGAAAUAUCUCCUUGACUUUGAAGCAGAAAUGUGGAGCUCGAUUCCAGACACCAGCAAGCAAAAUGCUGUCACAGCCGCAUCCAAAAUCGAUACAGCCCUUGCUGGAGCAGUCUCUGGUCUCUGUGUGUGAGUGGUUCUAAGGCCCAGAUCCAGAAAAAGUGUUUAUUUUGGUAGCGUGCACGAAGUUCCAGCUAUUCUAAAAAGCCGAGAUUUCGCAGCUAAGCUUUCCUGUUCCCAGCAGAGAAGGAGGAUGGAAGGUGUGCACUGUCCCACCUUGCAGAACAAGCUGCCCAGCCAACUCUCAAG